rnacentral:tRNA from 1 species
GGGUAUGAAGCACGAUUGGAAGUGCACCAACCUUGUAAGUUGGAUUUAGCGGGUUCGAAUCCCGUCAUGCCCU